rnacentral:rRNA from 1 species
AUUGAACGCUGGCGGCAGGCCUAACACAUGCAAGUCGAGCUGAGCGGCGGACGGGUGAGUAAUGCCUAGGAAUCUGCCUGGUAGUGGGGGAUAACGUCCGGACACGGGCGCUAAUACCGCCUACUAUCCACUGCGCCUAGGUCGGAUUAGCUCGUUGGUGGGGUAAAGGCCUAACAAGGCGACGAUCAGUAACUGGUCUGAGAGGAUGAUCAGUCACACUGGAAAUGAGACACGGUCCAGACUGCUACGGGAGGUAGCAGUGGGGAAUAGUGGACAAUGGGAGAAAGCCGGAUCCAGCCAGGCCGGGUGUUUGAGGAAGGUCUUCGGAUUGUAAAGCAAGUUAAGUUGGGAGGCGUUACUAACAGAAUAAGCACCGGCUAACUUCGUGCCAGCAGCCGCGGUAAUAC